UUAAAUGCGUUUUUUAUGUUCCAUUUAUCAUUUACAAGUUGGAUUUUUCAGUGUAGGGUAGCUCUAGCCAGGUUAGCCAUUGUUAGCAAUACCAGUUGUUAACAACGCAUUACGCUGUU